AUUGAACGCUGGCGGCAGGCUUAACACAUGCAAGUCGAACGAGUGGCGGACGGGUGAGUAAUGUCUGGGAAACUGCCUGAUGGAGGGGGAUAACUACUGGAAACGGUAGCUAAUACCGCAUACCAUCAGAUGUGCCCAGAUGGGAUUAGCUAGUUGGUGGGGUAACGGCUCACCAAGGCGACGAUCCCUAGCUGGUCUGAGAGGAUGACCAGCCACACUGGGACUGAGACACGGCCCAGACUCCUACGGGAGGCAGCAGUGGGGAAUAUUGCACAAUGGGCGCAAGCCUGAUGCAGCCAUGCCGCGUGUAUGAAGAAGGCCUUCGGGUUGUAAAGUUCUUUCGGUAGGGAGGCGUUACCCACAGAAGAAGCACCGGCUAACUCCGUGCCAGCAGCCGCGGUAAUUC
rnacentral:rRNA from 1 species